rnacentral:misc_RNA from 1 species
GAAACGUACGCAGUAAGUUUCUCGACUGGUUGGUCGGACGCAAGGAAAGUAACGAAAUUUGAAUUUAGUCUAAAAUAAUUAUUUUGAAACGAUUCUAAAUGCUAUGUCACAGGGCAAUGCCUCAAACAUACAUUUAACUACCAAAAACAGGCAUGACAAGACAGAGCAAGCAUCAACCAUGGCAGCAGCAAAGGGGGAGACACACGUAAACUGGGAACCUGUCGUACCUCUAGGUCCUGAACUAGCGUUUCACACAGGCUGCAUCAUCAAAAACUGCUUAUAUUUACAUGGUGGCAUAACAAGCCAAGGAAGCACCAGCCCAUCAGGCAAACUACAUCGACUUGACCUAUCUCAGCAAAUAUGGGAAGUAGUGAAUGCUUCUGGUAGUCCUACACUUAGUCACCAUGCUUGCAUUGCAUUAAAUGAUCGAUAUGUUCUUCUCAUUGGAGGCUGGGAUGGCAAAUCCCGAACAGGAACGUUGCAUGCUUACGAUACUGCAGCCAAUUCAUGGCUGUGCCCUGAACAAACUGGCUUCCCAACUGACGCAGGCCUCAGCUCCCAUACUGCUAAUCGUAUGGGUGAUGGCAGCAUCUUGAUUCUAGGCAGGGAGGGAAGCAGACGCACCCAAAGACGAACUGGAAAUGCUUAUUUACUACAAGGUAGUGUUGAAAAGGGAUUUACAUUUUCUGAAUACAGUCGGUCAACUACGUCACGAUCUGGUCACAGCACACACAUAAUUGGAUCAAAACUGUAUGUCAUCGGCGGUAGAGAUGAUAAACUGCUCGAGUUUCAAAAUGGAUUUUCCGAUGGGUCCAUUGGUCCAGCCACAUCUCUAAAAAAUCUUAACACCCUCGGCAAACAGUUAAAACCCAUGUCUAAAUUACCAUGUGGUCGAAGACAUCAUGUGUCAAUGUAUGGAUCAGACGUCAUUUUUGUUCAUGGUGGAGAAACAUUUGAUGGCAGGAGUAGAGAUCCUGUUGGUGAGAUGUUCUUUGUAAAGUUGAAACCAGAAAUAACCUUUUACAAACUAGGAGACUGCCGUGUUAAAAGGGCUGGGCAUAUUUGUUUUACUGAUGGAGAGCAUGUAUACAUCCAUGGGGGAAUUACUGGUAAAACAUCAGUGUGCGGAGAUUUGCUAAAACUUGUUGUGUAACCUUGGUAAUUGUAUCUGUUGGAUUUGUUUCCCAAAUCUAUUGCCUUUAUUCAAGAGGGAAAGUGGAAGGAACAGAAAUCUAAGGUGCUGUAAUUCAUUAUGUGGAGUUGUAUCUCUUUGCUUCGACUCGAAUCCAAGAUCCAGUGUCUUUGUGAGUGAGUUGGGUUUUACGCCGCUUUUAGCAAUAUUCCAGCAAUAUCACAGCAAGGGUCACCAAAAAUGGGCUUCACAUUGUACCCAUGUGGGGAAUUGAACCCUGGCAUUCAGUGUGA